CAACCAUCCUCCAAACAGCUGCCACAGAAAAUCUCGCCGAAGCUUGUAGGAGCCCUCCCUCAGCUGUAGGUUUUGCUUUCUGCAAUCUCAGGUUCCUGGGCUUAAUCACCGCCGGGAAACAGAUGAUCCUCUUUCUGGCCAAUCCUCAGAAAAUCGGCAGUAGCCUAACUCUAGGUCACAACUCUAGGUCAUUCCCCUCGCGUCCGCUCUCGCGGAGGCAUUUCAUCAUCUCACAGCAACACAAGGAGGGAUGAAACCACCGACAGCUGGGACCUUUCCAGAGGGCGAGGGUGCAUGAAGGAGAUGUGCUUGGGCGUGCGAGUGCCCCCUGCAGGCAGGGACGCACUCGGGUGCACUCGGAGUGCCCCCCAGGCGGCUGAGCCCUCCAGGCGGCUGAGCACACGACAUCUGGGGUUGUCUUCGGGGCUGCUAGAGCCUGGUGA